rnacentral:lncRNA from 1 species
UGAUCUGACGCCUCCCCAGCCAUGUGGAACUGCCUGCUGGCAGAAAAGGAGAAAUGCUGUACGAGGUUUAUGAAUAGGUCAGUUUGGUAUACAAACUGAAGCCCUAAGUGGACUGCUACUACUAUUGCAGGGACACAGCACACAAGAAAAGGUGUCUGUCUUUCCUGUGUAAUGGACAGGUUUUGAAUCGUGGGCCCAGAAGGAUUGUCUGGU